CGCCCCCCUUUCUCCCGGGGCCGCGUUUCCCGCCGUCCCCUCCCCCGCCCCCUCCCGCAGGGGGCCCGGGCCGGGGCGGGGCGCGGCGGGGCGGGGGCGGCCGGGCCUCAUUAAUCAGAGGCUCGUUGCGGAGGCCGGCGGAGGAGAUGCCACCCAGGGCGGGAAAAGGGGCGCGCGGGAGGGGCGGGGGCCGGCCGCCGCGCUCAGGGCCCGGCCCUCCCGCCUUUGACUCAAUUAAUUGGGCUCGGAGCUUCCGCCCGGGAGGGGACGCUGCAGGGGGCGGGGGCCGACCGAGAUCAAGGGGCGAGACCGCCAGCCCGGGCUCGGGGCUUGGGAGGGGGCGGUGGCACCUCUCCCCCACCCCCGGGCCCCGCACCGCCUCGCCGCCGCCCCACUCUCUGGGGCCCGGAGGAGGCAGUGAACUUGGCUGCCCCCUCGAAAUUCCCUCCCCCAGCAGCACACACUUCGGCGCGCGGAUCCGGUGCCUGGGCUGGGGGUGGGCGCGCGCCCCCAUCACCACCACCCCCGCCUCUGCGGGUUCGCGCCUGGGUGGUUCCCUUGGUGCCCGGCCCGCGGCUUGUUUACGAGCAUCCCAUUAGUCACCGGUUCUCGGGAAGUUGAAAUCGUCUGUUUAGAUGUAACAGGAGAAAGGGGAGGACGAGCGAGCGGAGAAGACUGCAGUUUCCAUCGUGCCAGGAAGAGGGCGGGCUCCGGCGAGCCGAGCCAGGUCUCCGCGGCCGCGGCCAGUCCCCCGCCGACCCCCGGCCCCGCGCGCAGAGGCGCGGUAGUGGGCGUCUCCGGACUACACGCCCGCAGCGGGUGCCGCGUGAAAGAUGCCCCUGGAUGCUUCAGAUAUUUCCAUCUACGUGGCUUCUGUGACUUUCAAAGUCGAUUACAAAUUAGGACCUACCAUAUAACGCGUCUCCUAAAUGACUGUGAGGGCUGCUAUUGAGGGUGGGAGUCCCCGAGUUCAGAUCCGAGCAGGCUACGAAUCCUGCUGAAACGAAAAAGGCUAUAGACGCAAGCCUUAGUCGGGUUUUUUGGUUUGUUUUUAAUUGCGUCUUCAUGAAAUGAUUUGAAACAAAAUUUUUUUUUAACUCCUGGAAGUUUGCCUUUGAAUGCCUUCUAUACCUUACAAAAGUCUUCGUUUCCAAUGUCAUGGAGUCAUACCUUGAAGAAAAAUAAUUUAAGAUUGUAAUUUUUGAAAGAGUGAUAAAUAUUUGAACAUGUUUGCAAAAAUGUGACCUGAAAAUUCUGCUAGUUAAUAUUACGGGCCGAGAGAUCCCUACUUA